UCAAACAGGGCUUGCUUUGCAGGUUGUCUCCUGCGCUUAGGACCCCCAUCCUCUCUUAGUGGCAUCUAGAACAGAAGAGAGACUCUUCCCCUUCUCUGCAUCAGCUUUGGAAGCAGCAGGUGUUGGAGGAGGAGGAGCUGCAGCAGCCGGAGGAGGAGGAUGAGGUCGAAAAGGGGUGCAUGGUUCCCCCUCCCUUCUGCUCCUUAACUAUCAAACGAUUUUAUUUUCAGUCACCUCUCUCUUCUCCCGCCUCCCUCUUCUUCCUGGGUGGAUGCCUUUGCCAGUGGGAGAGGGAGAUCGAGAAGGAAGCAGCGGCGGCGGCGGCGUCUGCCGGCUGGGAAAUCCUUGUGUGUGAAAGAAGCUGGUACUGCGGACUUUGCCCUUGGCAGCAGCUGUGGGAGCCGCUGGCAGGAGCCAGAAAGAAGGAAGUUGGGCCCUGCCGGGGGGGAGGGCAUCUCUGUCCCCUUCCAGCUCCCGCACUAGGUCUCUAGAUGCCCCCUUUUCCUCGCCGCCUCCUUUCUCACCCUUGACCAGCAUCUCCUCCUGCUGCUGCCGGAGCGCGCUCGCCGUCUUUGGGAUGGUGCUGCCUUGAUGGGGAAGAGGCGGCGGCGGCGGAGAAAGGCGCCUACCUAAGCGGGUAGGAGAGAGGACCCCUCCCCCCCUUCCUCGCCUAUCUCUGGAGUGAGGGGAAGAGGCAAGCGUGCGAUCAGCCGCCAGAGGAUCCACAGCGAAACUUUUAUUGCAGCUUCCACCCACCCACCCAUCCCCCAGCCAUCCUCACCCCCGGACAGCAUCCUGCGCGCUUGCAAAUGGAGGGACUGCGGCUCGCAGGAAGAUUCCUGGUCUAAAUUGGCAAAGGGGGAAGCAGCAGGAGGAGGUGGUGGUGAAGAGCAAGGCACAAGUUAAAGGGCGACCAGAGAGGAGGCGGCCCCUCUUUUUUCUUUUUAAUCUUUUCUUUUUAAUCUCCGCGACUCUCCUGGCUUCUCUUCGCCCUUCGCCACUUAGGAGGAUCUCUAGGGGGAAACAACACACACCCAGAUUAUUGUCCUGGACUGUUGAAGAGGACACCCCCCCCCCCGGGCCGGCUUUCCUUUCCUUCUUCCUCUCUUCCUGCCCUGCUGCUGCUGAGCGAUGGGCUUCUUCCAACCCUCCGCUCCGGCUUGAUCCUGUGUCGCAAGGGAGGCAAAAUGGACUUGGCCGGUUUGGAAAGACUUCGGCUGUAACUGAAUGGCGCGCAGAGAUCCUUAAGCCCCUCCUUGGGUGACUCUUUCUCCUCCACCCCCCUCCACCCUCUACCCCCUUUUGCUGCCUUCCCCUCAGCUCUAGCCUCUCCCCUCUUUGGGUGUCUCUCCCACCACCUUGCCCGUCCGAGAAGCGAGAUCAAGGAACUGAUGACGGACCCAUCGCUCACCCCCCCCUCGAUGCAUCAAAAGAACCUCCAGGGCCGGGAAAGGUUGGCCUCGAAAUUCUCCAGGAAAUACUUGGGGCUGCUUUUGGUGUUGUAUGAAACUGGUGAUUAAAGGGGGGGAGCCUGGAAAGGAGGAGAGGAGACGAACCCUCUCCCCCCCCCCACCUUCACUUUCUCGAGCCUAGUGGCUCCUGCCGGUGGUGGACUGCGAUCUCUGGAAGUGGAGCUUGUGCGUCGAGGGCUCUUGCUCUCCCUUCCCCGCCUUGCCCUUCUCGGCCAGUUAUGCAGACUCCCUGUGGUGGUUGUUGCUGCUCCUGCUGCUGCUGCUGCUGCUAGGAUGCGAUGCUGGCCGCUCCGGAGCCAGGGGAUGGAGAUGGGGGGCUGAUCAUCGCCAGACGACGGUGAGAGGGGAAAGGAGAGAAAGAGCUGGAGAGACGGGGGCGCUGAUCCACUUGGGUUCAGCGCGAAGCGCGCGUGGGCUUCAGGCUGCUGCUCGGGUCUCCCUCCUCUUCCCACCGCAGGAAGCCCUCUCGUCUCUAAAUGGAAUUAGUGGAGAUCGAAGCCCCUUGUGUAAGGAACAGACAUGAUCCAUGGGCGCAGCUUGUUUCACAUUGUAGCAAGUUUUAUCAUCCUACAUUGGGCUGGGGCAACAAAAAAAGGAGCAGAAAAGCAAACCACGUCAGAAGGACAAAAGACAGUACAGUGUGGAACGUGGACAAAAUACCCAGAAGGAGGCAUCUUCACUUCUCCCAAUUACCCCAACAAAUAUCCUCCUGAGAGAGAGUGUGUCUACAUUAUAGAAGCUGCCCCAAGACAGUGUAUUGAGUUACACUUUGAUGAAAAAUAUUCCAUAGAGCCUUCGUGGGAGUGUAAAUUUGAUCAUAUUGAAGUGCGGGAUGGACCUUUUGGAUUUUCCCCAAUAAUUGGUCGUUUCUGUGGACAACAAAACCCACCCAAAAUAAAAUCCAGUGGUAGAUUCCUGUGGAUUAAAUUUUUUGCUGAUGGUGAACUUGAAUCUUUGGGAUUUUCUGCACGAUACAAUUUUACACCUGAUCCGGAUUUCAAGGACCUUGGGGUUUUGAAACCAUUGCCAGUUUGUGAGUUUGAGAUGGGAGGAUCUGAAGGAAUUGUGGAAUCUGUGCAAAUUGGGAAAGAAGGGAAAGCUUCGGACACCGAGGCAGUUGAUUGUAAAUGGUACAUCCGAGCACCACCAAGAUCCAAGAUAUAUUUACGGUUCUUGGACUAUGAAAUGCAGAAUUCUAAUGAAUGCAAAAGGAAUUUUGUGGCUGUCUAUGAUGGAAGUAGCUCAGUGGAGGAUUUAAAAGCUAAGUUUUGCAGCACUGUUGCUAAUGAUGUGAUGCUGCGCACAGGUCUUGGAGUAAUCCGCAUGUGGGCAGAUGAAGGCAGCCGAAGCAGCCGAUUCCAGAUGCUCUUCACAUCUUUCCAAGAACCCCCCUGUGAAGCCAACACAUUCUUUUGCCAUAGUAACAUGUGUAUUAAUAAUACAUUGGUCUGCAAUGGACUCCAGAACUGUGUGUAUCCAUGGGAUGAAAACCACUGCAAAGAAAAAAGAAAAGCCAACAUACUGGACCAGCUUACUAAUACCAGUGGGACAAUAAUUGGGGUGACCUCUUGUAUUGUGGUCCUCCUUAUCAUUAUCUCUGUUAUAGUACAAAUCAAGCAGCCUCGUAAAAAAUAUGUCCAGAGGAAAGCAGACUUUGAUCAAACAGUAUUCCAGGAGGUGUUUGAGCCUCCUCACUAUGAGUUAUGCACUCUUAGAGGGACAGGAGCUUCAGCGGACCUUGCAGACGUUGCAGAUGACUUUGAAAAUUAUCAUAAACUGCGGAGAUCAUCUUCAAAAUGCAUUCAUGACCACCACUGUGGAUCACAGUUAUCUAGCACUAAGGGCAGCCGUAGUAACCUCAGCACAAGAGAUACGCCUAUCUUGACAGAAAUUCAACCCCAGCCUGUAAAGCCUCUCAUACAGCCCAUGAACAGAAGAAAUAUCCUCGUAAUGAAGCAUAGCUACUCACAAGAUGCUGCAGAUGCGUGCGAGAUAGAUGAAAUCGAAGAGGUACCAACCACGAGUCACAGGCUAUCCAGACAUGAUAAAGCUGUCCAGCGCCAUAACAUUCCAGGUUCUGCCUCAUUGGGUCUCUAAACAAACAUGAAUCUGAGUACAACACAACUAGGGUGUAAAAGGCAAACUGAAGGUGUGGACUGACACAAAAACAACAACUUUUAUGCUAGGGAAAACUCCCCAUGUUUAUUCCUGUUGAGCACACUGACCUUUCCUCUUAUUGAAAGGAAACAUAAUGUUGGUACAUGGGGAAGAAAAAUAGGCAUAAAAGGAUAAUUCCUAGAUGCCAGGAUUCAACUUUGGGCAAGUAUUCCUUGGUGAGAGAACCCCAGAAGAGGUUUAAAAAUCACAAAACAUACAGCAAAGUGAAGAAUGGAAUUAUAGGCUAUUAGACCUUUAAAAUAUGCCCUUUAAAGUGAGUUCCAAAGUUUCCCACUUCCCUAGCAUUGAAAAUGACCAUGUUUGGUAAGUUAAAAAUGGUUUACUUACAAACUCUCCAAAGGUCAGAUUCAUAUUCUUUUCCAUAUAGCAUUCGUAAAAAGUUGCACAGGCAGUAACACUUGACUUAGUUAUAGAGUGGUGAAAGUUCCUAAAUUAUUGGUAUAGGAACUCAAGAGUGACUCAUGAAAGCCAUCCAGUGUGAGCUGGAGCCACCAGCUCAAACCUCUUUGCACUCUGAACUUCUCAGGUAGACUGGGGGUUGAACAAUAGGCUUGAUUACCCAUUUUCUCCCAAGGUAAGGGAAGUGGAUAUAGCUGAGUCUGGCAGGACAGUUUACUCUAUGAUAUUAACUCCUUCAUAUAUUAAUUAGACUUAAGCAUGUUGAUUAUAUGAGGCUGGUUAUCCCACACAUAAGAGCACCAAAUAGUCACUAUAAGUAUCUGAGCUGCAGUUUGGGUGUGUUUUUUCAGAUGGAUGUGUAUUCUAUGUAGUGAAACACAUAGAAACAAAAUGUAUAACUAUUAGUAAGAUAUACAAGCUUUUGAUUUUUCAGGAGAAGGGAGAAGUCGUAAGUCAUUCUUUGCUUUAUACAUACAAACAUUUUGACACUUAGCCAGUAUUUUCAGGCCUUGAGUGAAUGUGGUGGUGGUGGAGAGACAGAAUUCUCACUUUGAGUCAACUAUUUUUAUUCACACCAAAAAAUUUCAAAUAUUUCUUCUUACCUUCUUAUAGAUAGUUCUAUUUGACAGCUAUUUUUUUAUUCUGGAAUUUGGCUCAGAUGGAAUUACAUGUGCUUUAGUCUGAGAUCUAUUUUGACCUGAAACUGAAGAACUUUUGCACUGCCCUACCAGCCAGUCGAGUUGCUGGUCACAAUCACUUACCUGUGCUUUGGAUUUUGGAGGUCAGACUACCGUUGUACUACUGCGAUCACACUUUUUCCAAUUACUGGCAUACCAAAACAACACCCUAAAUGACUUUGUGUCCUGGUGCCACAUUUCUGUCUACAACAUUUCCCUUUUGUCUAUUUAAAAGCAGGUCAUACAAUCAGGCUGCCUGCAGUCUUGUGGACAAUGAAGUCAAUGAAGCACUUAUAUGCCUAGCUGUCUUCAAGGUUCUAGUCAUUCAUCUUAAUUAAGAGCACAUUUAUUUUGCAAUAUAGAGCAGUUUACAAACAGCCCAAGUGUGGAUAUUCUACAUGUGCAGUGAGCCUCUCACUGCCACCACCACAAAUACUUGGAAUAUGCAGACAUUUGUAUGAAAGGGGCUUACAUGAGUACAAAUUGGUUUUUUAGAAAAAGAAAGGGAAUUAAAGGCACCAAAAUAAUGUCAUUCAUUGUGUACUUGUAUAUUAUAUGUCCUGUCAAAGACAAUUAUUCACAUUGAACUUGUUAUAUGUACAUUGUUUUCAUUAUGUAGACUGCUUGGGAAUAGUGCGAUCCUGGGUGCUUUUGAAUAUACUACAGUGAAUUGUGAAAAUAUCGACCGUGGAACUGCAAGCUAGAGAUGUUCUGGACUCUGACCAGCUAUUCCAAUUUCAUGAAAAAAACCCCACACAUCAGUCAGUAAUGAGUAAAAUUAAUGGAUGGCAAUAAGACUCUAAUUACUAUCAUUGCUAUCAUUUAUUCUUAUUAUUGUCAUCAUCUGUUUUCUUUAUUUCUUUAUAUUUAUUUUGUUCUGUUUUGUUACAAAGAAAAGAUAACCCAGUUUCAGGAAUAAAAUGAUUAAAUCAGGUACUAUUUAUCCAUUCACAAUCACUUCAGUAGAUAUAUUUGUUGGAUAAAAAUCUAACAAUAUGACUGAACUCAACAACGAGGAACUGGUUUGCAUGUAUGUUGCUGAAUAUUUGAGUUGGCAAACAACAACAAAAAUCCCUUUGAUGAGAUACAUUGUAAAAAGCAUGCAUCCGUACUUACUGCUGUUCCUAUCCAUUUCUUUGUGUCAUAUGCUUGCUAAUUGUAACUUUUUAUAUAAAGAUACAUAAAACAAUGUAUAAUAAUUUCUUACACUGA